CAAUCGAACCCGGAGAUAGCUGGUUCUCCUCGAAAUAGCUUUAGGGCUAGCCUCGCAUUAGUUUACCGGAGGUAGAGCACUGAAUGGUCUAGGGGGCCUCACCGCCUACCGAAACCUAUCAAACUGCGAAUGCCGGAUAAAUGAUGUGCGGGAGUCAGGCCGCGAGAGAUAAGUUCCGCGGUCAAAAGGGGAACACCCCAGAUCGUCUGCUAAGGUCCCUAAGUACGCGUUAAGUGGGAAAGGAUGUUGGAUUGCACAGACAACCAGGAUGUUGGCUUAGAAGCAGCCACACAUUCAAAGAGUGCGUAAUAGCUCACUGGUCGAGUGAUCCAGCGCCGAAAAUGUAACGGGGCUAAAACGCGACACCGAAGCAGCGGGAUGCGUAAGCAUCGGUAGAGGAGCAUUGUGUGAGGGUUGAAGCCAGAGCGAGAGCACUGGUGGACUUCACAGAAGAGAGAAUGCCGGUAUGAGUAGCGAGACCCAUGCGAGAAACAUGGGCGUCGAAGGCCCAAGGUUUCCUGGGGAAGGUUCAUCCACCCAGGGUAAGUCGGGACCUAAGCCGAGGACUAGAUGGUCGUAGGCGAUGGACAACAGGUUGAUAUUCCUGUACUACCUUUAGCGUUAAAACGAGGCAGUGACACAGGAGGAUAGGCAGAGCGGGUUGAUGGUAGAACCCGUCCAAGCAUUUAGGGAGACAGAGUAGUGAAGUACGCUUUGUUGAUAAUUCUGAGAUGUGAUGGGGACAGAAAAUAAGUAUGGAAGCUGCUGAAUCCACACUGGCGAGAAAAGCUGCUAGGAGCGAAGAGGUACCCGUACCGCAAACCGACACAGGUAGGCGAGGAGAGAAUCCUAAGAUGAGCGAGAUAACCAUUGUUAAGGAACUCGGCAAAAUGACCCCGUAACUUAGGGAGAAGGGGUGCCUAGAAAUAGGUCGCAGAGAAUAGGUCCAAGCGACUGUUUAGCAAAAACACAGGUCUGUGCGAAAUCGAGAGAUGAAGUAUACGGGCUGACGCCUGCCCAGUGCCGGAAGGUUAAGGGGAAAUGUUAGUCGAAAGGCGAAGCAUGGAACUUAAGCCCCGGUGAACGGCGGCCGUAACUAUAACGGUCCUAAGGUAGCGAAAUUCCUUGUCAGGU
rnacentral:rRNA from 1 species